rnacentral:RNase_P_RNA from 1 species
GCGGAGGGCCGGAUGGCCGCACCCCCCGGGGUGAGGAAAGUCCGGACUCCACAAGGCGACGGUGCCGGGUAACGCCCGGCCGGGGAAACCCGAGGGAAAGCGCCACAGAAAUCAGACCGCCCCGGCAUCGCGCCGGGGUAAGGGUGAAACGGUGGGGUAAGAGCCCACCGCGGGACGGGCAACCGGACCGGCACGGCAAGCCCCACCGGGAGCAAUGCCGAAUAGGGACCGCACACCGGGCCGCCUUGGCCCCGCGGUCCGGGUUGGCAGCACGAGCCCGCCGGCAACGGCGGGCCCAGAUGAAUGGUCAUCGCCGGGGUUCAUGCCCCGGUACAGAAUCCGGCUUACAGGCCCUCCGCGCAU